CAAAAAUAACAGACUUUAUCAGCACACAGUGUUGUUUCAUUCCUGAAUGAUUCAGUGUUGUGAACGAAGCGGCUGAAUGAAUAAUGUCUCGCUUGACGGCUCCUAUUGACGUAACGAUAUAAACAGCAGAAAGAGUCUCUGAAAACGCGCAAACACAGAUAAUCAGAGUGAUACAAACAAUGACAACUCAAUAGAAAGACGUGUUUUCCUGACAUUAUUUCGCGGAUACUAUUGGAUAUAUGCCGUAUUUUAAUCUCAUCACUUGCAACUUGAACUGCAAAUUUGUUGUGGCAUGCGUCUGCCGCAGAGGUGCGCCCGCGUUAACAGCAGCGCAGGAAACACUGCCAUAGAGCAAAAAUAUCGAUCUUCGGAUUUUAAAGAAUAGCUAAGGACAAAACGCAGUCGUUUUAAAGACAUUGUAUCGUAUAAAUAGACAUUUUAACCAGCCUUACUGCUUCAUAAUGCAUGCAAGUGGCCAAGCUUUAAGCGGAAACGUACUUACAGAAUAUGGCAUGUGUUUGGACAGUUAUACCCAGCCAACAGAAACAGAGCUCUGGAACAUGUGGAGAGACAUUGACUUUAAUGAUGGACAUCUGCUCAUGCACAGGAGGCGUCCAUCUGUUGCUUGGCGAGUCAUGAGUCACGGGCCCAGAGUCAAGACCCCAUAUGGAUGUUUCUAGGGGUUUGAAGCAGAAGGUGGGAGAUGGAAAUGUCUGUGCAACUCAAAGCCUUGGACCAGAGAGGUGAUGGUCAGCACUCAGAUUACAGACUGUGACCUCUGGGUGGUUGACAGCUGACUUUGAGAGGAAAAAAGGUCACUGCUGAUGUCUAGCAGAACCAGACCUAUAGCAAAACCCAAUGAAACUUGAAAAAAAAAAGUUCCAACAGGUAAGAUUUCAAAGGUUCAACUUACUAUAACCAUAACAUUCAUAACAUACAUAGGCCCUAAUGCAGAAUUCAAGGUUGAAUUAACGAUUAUGUGCUCUUCAUUAAAUAGCUGUCUGUAUUUUCUUUUACUGAAGCCUCUUUGCAGACGAACGUGUUUAUUCAACAUGUUCCAAUUUGGCAGAAAUCCAUUCCACCGUUUUGCUUUUGAAAAAUGAGAGCAGGACUCGAAAACCCUGAAUGCUAAAGUGUUCUUCAGAGCACCUGCAUGCUCGAAUGGGCUUCAGAUGGCAAUUAGGAAAUGGCCUGUGAAAUGACUUGAUAACAGCAGACUCCAGAGAUGGUGGAGUCCAAUUCGUUUAAAGCCGAGUAUUUGUGGCCGCUGGGGCUUGGGGGCAGAGGCUUUCCGAUAGUACAUUUAAAUUAUGUCUUGACCACAGCAGCCUGAAGUCAACCUUGAAAAACAUCAUUCAGCUGAUGCAAAGUCAGAGAAACUCAAAAGCCCUCUAAUAAUACAGCAGCAUCCGAGUGAACACAGAAUAAACUCUCCCUUCAUUCAGUCAUU